rnacentral:rRNA from 1 species
UACGUAGGGGGCAAGCGUUGUCCGGAAUCAUUGGGCGUAAAGAGCGUGUAGGCGGCUCGGUAAGUCCGCUGUGAAAGUCCAGGGCUCAACCCUGGAAUGCCGGUGGAAACUGUCGAGCUAGAGUCCGGAAGAGGCGAGUGGAAUUCCUGGUGUAGCGGUGAAAUGCGCAGAUAUCAGGAGGAACACCAAUGGCGAAGGCAGCUCGCUGGGACGGUACUGACGCUGAGACGCGAAAGCGUGGGGAGCAAACAG